UUCCUGCCUACCUUUGAAUGUUGUCACUUGGAGUGAUGGCAACCAUUUUGUGACUGUGAGGAGAAGGUCAAGAGAAUCACAGAAAGGCUGGCCUGAAGCCCUAGUGUUGUGGAGCUGCUGAACUACCCUGGUACCACCUGUUCUUGGACCCCUUGAUAUGCUCUAGCCACACCGGCCUUGUCACUGACCCAGCUAAGAGCCUCCUGGCCUCUGUUGGACUGUUUCCUCUGCUUGAUGGCUCUUCCCCUCCUCGUGUGCCCACUGGCCUCCUGGACCUCAUCCCUGCACACAUCGCUGCAGCUGGAUUCUCGAGGAUGUGGUUAGCUGUUCCACACUCGUCUCUCUACCUCGAUUCCAUACCUGCCCACGGCAAGGACUCCACCUGGAUCACUGGACCCUCCUGACAGAACGCCUGUGCUGUGUCUCCCCUUCCCCAGCAGCCAUGGCAGCGACUCCCUCCGCGCAGUCACCUCCUCUGGACCGUUGUCUCAGUUCAUCUGCACCAGUGCCAGCUGCGAUGGUUCCCAUGGGGCUAGAGCCACACUCCGCUGCCAGCCCACCUGGGCCUCUGUCACCCUUCCCUGCUGCUGGUGCCUGAGGCUCAGGCACCAGCUGACUCUGGGUCCCUGGCAAGAGAAGUGCUGUCUUCGUGGUUUACUGUGGGGUCCAAGCGUGGGCUCUGUGAGGUGUAGAUGGCCCUCCCCUGGCCUCUGGACUGCCCUGCUGGCACUUUUUCUGGCCUUGUCCUGCAGUAGAGUUUCUUGGAUGUUUUGAGCAGAGGGAAUGGCCUGAACAAAGGUUUGGACGGCACGGUACAUAGGGUCAACGACUGCUCUGGUUUACCCAGGACUCAGGCGUCUCCUGGGGUGCAGGAGUUUCAGUGCUAAAGCCAGGCCAAGCCAGGAUGGCUGGUCACCCUAGUGGUCCAUCUGGAGAAUGUCAGUAAUCUGUGCAGCUGGAGCAGGCAGGGUGAGCAAUGAGGCUGGAGAGGUGGCAGGGGCCGACCUCAGAGGGAUCCCUGGGCGUUUGAUGCUGACCAGGAAGGGCCAGUGAAGAGUCUGGGAUGGGUGUAUAGGACUAGGGCUGCUGGAAUUACUACAAACUGGGGGUCUUAAGACAACAGAAAUGUAUUCUCUCUCAGUUCUGGAGGCCGGAAGUCUGAAGUCAAGGUGUCGGCAGGGCUGCGUUCCCUCUGAAGGUCCUAGGGGAGAACACCCUCCCUGCCUCUGCCACCUGCUGGGGCUCAGGCACUCCUGGGCUGCGGCUGCAUCGCUCCCAUCUCUUCUCCAUCUUCACGUGGCCUUCCCCUCUUCCAUGACGAAAUCUCCCUCUGCUUUUCUCUUAUAAGGACACCUGUCGCUGGAUUUAGGGUCCUCUUGGGUAAAUCAGGAUGAUCUCAUUUCAAGAUCCUUGACUUAAUUCCAUCUGCAAAGACACUUUUUCCAAAUAAGGUCACAUUCCCAGGUUCCAGGGCUUAGCACGUGGACAUAUCUGUUACGGGGCCACUAUUUAACCCCUGAGGCAGCCAAGAGACAUGUUCAAGUUUGCAAUUUGGAAAGAUUACUCUGGAAGCAGAGAAGAGGGGACGUUCAGCUGUUAAACAUGAUGUCACAGAGGACAUCCUGGGGAGAAGCCGAGGCACGCAUACAUGAAGAGCAGCCUGGGGGGCACGGUGGAUCCCACUGGGGCGCUUCCUUCCACCUCUAAGGCUGUCCACAUGACUCCCGAGCCUACCACAGCCGCCACAGUCUGGGCCUGUCCCUUGCAGACUCCAGAUUGCUUCUCGCCCAGGGUCACUGACGGGCCCAGGGAUAGAUGGACCCUCCCUCGCCUGCCUAAAGCUGGUCUUCAGAGUCCUGGUUUCCUGUCUUAGGACUAAUGUCUCUCUCAGCUAUGACUGACACCAGGAAUAUUUGCCCCUGCUCUGCAGGGCAAUGCUCUGCUCCACGGGAUCAUCCAUUCAUUCCUUCAACUUACCUCGGUUGAGGGCAUGCUGGUUGCGGGAACCAUGGACCCAUCACAGCCCCUCCUCUAGGGGUUCAUAGGCCAGUCCAGGCAAUAGAUGAGGAAUGAGUGAUUUCAACACCACAUAAACUACGCUCGGGUGGGUCACAGGCAGGCCCAGGAGGGUCCUCAGGCCAGGCCAUGCUCACAAAGGGCCUUAAAUGUGGAUUUUUGACAUCAUCCCCAAACCAUUUUACACCCACAGACACAGGGCUUCGUCCUGACAGUGUUGAACGUUUAAACCUUGCCACACAUUUUGUAACCCA